UGGGGAAUUUUGGACAAUGGGCGAAAGCCUGAUCCAGCAAUGCCGCGUGUGCGAAGAAGGCCUUCGGGUUGUAAAGCACUUUUGUCCGGAAAGAAAUCCUUGGCUCUAAUACAGUCGGGGGAUGACGGUACCGGAAGAAUAAGCACCGGCUAACUACGUGCCAGCAGCCGCGGUAAUACAUAGGGUACAAGCGUUAAUCGGAAUUACUGGGCGUAAAGCGUGCGCAGGCGGUUUGCUAAGACCGAUGUGAAAUCCCCGGGCUCAACCUGGGAACUGCAUUGGUGACUGGCAGGCUAGAGUAUGGCAGAGGGGGGUAGAAUUCCACGUGUAGCAGUGAAAUGCGUAGAGAUGUGGAGGAAUACCGAUGGCGAAGGCAGCCCCCUGGGCCAAUACUGACGCUCAUGCACGAAAGCGUGGGGAGCAAACAGGAUUAGAUACCCUGGUAGUCCACGCCCUAAAACGAUGUCAACUAGUUGUUGGGGAUUCAUUUCCUUAGUAACGUAGCUAACGCGUGAAGUUGACCGCCUGGGGAGUACGGUCGCAAGAUUAAAACUUAAAGGAAUUGACGGGGUCAUAGCUGUUUCCU
rnacentral:rRNA from 1 species